rnacentral:rRNA from 1 species
UACGUAGGGGGCCAGCGUUGUCCGGAAUCAUUGGGCGUAAAGCGCGCGUAGGCGGCCAGUCAAGUCCGGUGUGAAAGUCACAGGCUCAACCUGUGAAUGCCGCUGGAAACUGUCUGGCUAGAGUCCGGAAGGGGCGAGUGGAAUUCCUGGUGUAGCGGUGAAAUGCGCAGAUAUCAGGAGGAACACCUAUGGCGAAGGCAGCUCGCUGGGACGUUACUGACGCUGAGACGCGAAAGCGUGGGGAGCAAACAGG